GAUGGGCUUCAAAACUCUAAUUUCUUGGACCUAUUCGAGUUUCUGAAGUUGUUUCAUCUACUGCUCAACUAGGUUUAGAAAUCUUUGUUUCAGCUCUGUUUCUUUAUAUGAUUCUGACAUACUACUAAACUCUAUAAGAUCUUUUAUUUGACCCCCUUUGCAUGCUAUUUGAUACUCCUUCUUCUCUAUUACCGAGGUGACUACCAUUUUCCUAUAGUACAAUAUUUACUGAUUUUGUGAUUGCAAGACACUUCUCUUUGUCAUAGAUUCCGCCUUACAUGCUUAAUGUUUAUGCACUCUUUAUAGGCUAAAUUUCUCUCUCAAAAUAACCCUUAAUUGUGGACUGAUUUCAGACUUCUUCGUGUAAGUUUUAUUGAUUCUUCCUUGCUUAUUGAUUUCCCUGUUUCUUGGGUUUAUUUGAAAGCUUCCCUUAGCUUUUCGAUUCUCCCAUUUCUGACUGGGUUUAUUUGUUUAUUCAUGAACCAGUAAUUUUGAAUCUCUAACUCCUUGAUUUACUAUAUGUUGAUGGAUUUAUGUGUUUCUUACCGUAUUUGGUUAAUCGAGUAUUUCAAAGAUUCUUCCCUUAAUUAAAACCCUAUGUAUUUACCCAUAAUUGUCUAACUUUCACAAGAUUCUUACUCGAUUUCUUUCCUUAACUGUUUUUUGCCCACUACCGUUUAGUUUAAACUCCUUAAUUAAAGGAAGUCUGUAUAUUGAUUGACUUUAAUUGAUACAUAAUUUCAUAAUUACUACUAAACUAUGAUUCUUGCCUUGUUUUCUAUCUAUUUUCAAACUAUAAAUACCCUUCUCUUUCAUUGACACAAAGACACACGAACACUCUUAGUUUUCUGAACUCACACUCACACUCCAAAGGAAUUCUCUCUUGUUACUUGUACCGUGGCCCGCUUUCAGUUCCUGCUACUUGCUUUUACUGUAUUUUGGUCUUUGAAACUGGUAUGUUCUGAUUAAGAUUUUCAGCAGUCACAGCAUUAUGUUUACUUAAUACUCUUACCCACUUGUUUGUCUACUGCUUGUGUUCAAUUCAGUACUUAUUUUAGCAUGUUGCAGUUUCCUUUUGCUUGUUCGGCAUCUACUAUGCAUCCUAAAUGUGUAUGAUGCUGAUGGUUUAUUUGAGGCAUGAUAGUAUUAAGUAUUACUGUGUAUGACUCAAACUUGAUUCCCUUGGAAUCAUAACCUUUAUGUCACCAUCAUAUGUUGUGUAUUCUUUUUGAUUUUGUAAGCAUAACAACAGUCGCUAUUGUUGUGAAUGCCAAGAAUUAGCUAAUGCCUAAGUACAUAGGCUCUUUUCAAUCCCCAAUCUCUGAACCCCUUUGUGUGAAACCCUCAAUCGUGUAUCUGUUUUCCAGCCCCUCUUCCCCUAUUCUGUACUUUCUUAGUUCUUUAAAACCCUAUUUAUUCAUUUGCAUUCUCUCAUAGACCUUAAGUUCUGCUCCCCCUCUAUUGAGCCUUGCCUUGGUACCCAUUGAGCUCCCUCUAAACUUGGACACUUUAGGGUUGGCCCUUCCACACUAUGCUUGUACCUAUUUUAAUGAUACAAUUUGGGUGUGAGUACUUCCCGG
rnacentral:lncRNA from 1 species